UACGUAGGGUGCGAGCGUUGUCCGGAAUUAUUGGGCGUAAAGGGCUCGUAGGCGGUCUGUUGCGUCAGGAGUGAAAACUCGGGGCUUAACCCCGAGCCUGCUUCUGAUACGGGGCAGACUAGAGGUAUGCAGGGGAGAACGGAAUUCCUGGUGUAGCGGUGAAAUGCGCAGAUAUCAGGAGGAACACCGGUGGCGAAGGCGGUUCUCUGGGCAUUACCUGACGCUGAGGAGCGAAAGCGUGGGGAGCGAACAGG
rnacentral:rRNA from 1 species